rnacentral:rRNA from 1 species
GACGAACGCUGGCGGCGUGCUUAACACAUGCAAGUCGAGCGGAAAGGCCCUUCGGGGUACUCGAGCGGCGAACGGGUGAGUAACACGUGAGCAACCUGCCCUAGGCUUUGGGAUAACCCC